CGGUCAGCAGCGUACUUAAAGCCCCGUAAGAUCUCCGGAGGAGGAGACGGAAAACUCGCUGAGGCGAUGGACACAGGUGACGACGUCCUUACGUCACGGUUUGCAUCUGGGGGUCGAGGAGUCGUGCUGGCGGCUUUGAAGCAGCGCUCUCACAGCGCCCCC